UGCUUAGUGUGUUUAACAAAUAAAUAAAGUGGCUAUGCUAAUCUGUAUCUAAAUAAAACUCAAGCAUGGAAAUGAUGAAUAGUUGCUCUGCCUAAUUUGCACAUUUUAAGUUCUCUCUCAAGUUUAGACAUAACUGUUAUAAUUUAAAGCUUGCUCUAGACCUAAACUUGUGGGAUGAAAACUUGAUCUGAAAUCUAAGUUGUUAACGGAUACGAUAUGCGAAGGUUGAGCUGCUGUUUAUCUGUUUCUAGAGAUGCUAGAAUUCUGGAGAAUUUUAUCUUUGGAAAUCUUUAAAAUGUUGCAUGAUGAGUUCCUGUAUGAUGAGAGUUUAAAUUCCUACCACAGCCAUAUAUACAUGCUUGCUAGACUUCGAGCCACACAUUUACUUUUUACUGCUUAUGAGCAUUGAGUGUGGUCAAGCUGUGUAGACCCUUAGGAGCUUGUCAUGUGGUUAAAUCAAGAUUCACUUGCACGUUCACUCACACAUGCUACUUCUACUCCGGAAGUACCAUCCACAUAUAUCCAUACAUUUCCAUCUUCAGAAUCACCCAAAAAUAUUCUACUCCUAAUCCGGGAGAGAAUAGCCAAAAAUAAUUUUGUUCUUCCUUGUGUAAUAAAUGCCUCAAGAUCAAUAAAGAGUAUUAUUAUUAUGUCUUGUGUGUCUCUACUUUAUUUUUGUGCAAGAAAGCAGAAAACAAGUAUGGGGGAGAUCCCUCAACAUGCCAAACACACUCCAACUACACCAUCCCACGAUUCAGGUACACACUCUGCACACUUUACUUCAUACAUACAUUUAUUUUAGAUUAUGCAGAAUAUUGUUUCCGACAUGAUAAAAUAAAAGGAUUAAAAUAUUUCUAAUCAUGAUUAAUCUCAAUCUGUGAUAUUUCCUGAAAACUUGCAAAUUAUUAUAAAAUCAUUUUAAAACCCUGUGUUACUUAAGUCAAUAUGGAAUAUGUGAUGGUAGAGUAUGAGUUUCUUAUUCUUGAUAUCAUUGUUGCUUGGAGAAUUUAUUUCAAAAUAUUCAAAUUCCUAGCUACCAUCCUCAGUGUUUUAUAUGCCUGAUAAAACUGAAAUAUUAAAUAUGAUUAUAAAAGCUAUCUGCUCUGUAUUGAGUUUGUUCAAAAUGAGUUAGACCCUUGUUGAGAGAUUUAUCAUGCUUCUAAGAUCAAGACACUAUUUCAGUAAGAUUCACUCUUCCGAAGUAUUAUUGCAUUAGAGGCUUGGGCUAUGCAAAAAUAGAGAUAUUUCGAGGAAAUAAAAAUGAGCAAGUGCUCGACAACCUCGCAGAAAAAAAUGGACAAGUGUCCGGCAGUAGAAUUAGGGGUACCUCGGUAUCCACCUAAAAAAAAUAAAUAAAAUAAAAUAAAUGAUAGCCCAUGGUCCCUCUAAUAAGCAAUAUGCCAGCAAGAGUUGACAAAGUUUUUAAUUUCCAAAGUCUUUGAUCUAAGAGUAUGACAUUUCCCUCCUCGGAUCCCGUUUUGAUCAGGCAAUAAAUGCAAAGUAAGUAUGCUUGAGAAUUUUUGCAAAAUAAAACAGCCUCAGUGAAAUAUAUAAAAGAUAAUGAGUGAUCUGAGAGAACUUAUGAGGAUCAAAAGGUAUGCUAACUUUCUUUCAAAAAUAUACAAAAACUCCAAGUGACAGGAUUGAGAAGAAAGGAUCUUUACUCUUAACCAUAUACUUCCCUGACUAUGGUACACAGUGGAAUUUUUAACACCCUGCAAUUGUAAAGAGAAUGUUUUAAAUGUUUACCCCAGAUAUUUUUCUUAACCAUCCUUUUCUCGAGGACGAGUAAAAGCCUAAGUAUGGGGGUAUUUGUUGACGGUUCUUAAGUAUCAAUUUUAAUUAUCAAAUAAACAAGAGAAAGGACCAAUAUGCAACCAUCACCUAGAAUUAGGGUUUGAUCUGACAGAAUUCCACGAGUUUUGUUGUUUAUCUAUUUCUGCAGGGGGUUAUCAGGAAAUAAGGAAGAAAGGCCCACAUGUCAGGAUUACAUAGAGAUAUCAACGCACCGCGCAAUUUUACAUCAUCUAGAAGACUCCAGAAGCC
rnacentral:lncRNA from 1 species